rnacentral:lncRNA from 1 species
UUGUUGCACCACAGCAGGAACUCCCCCAUUACUGAUUUUUUUGGGGGGGGCACCCCGUGGCAUAUAGAGUUACUGGGCUAGGGAUCAGAUUUGGAUCUAUGCCGUUGUGGCAGUGCCAGAUCCAUCAACCCACUGUGUGGGGCUGGGGAUCAAAACUUCGUCCCAGAGUUUCAGAGACAACGAAUCCCAUUGUACCACAGCAGGAAUUCCUGAUUUUUUUUCUUUUUUUAAUCUUAACAAAUUAAGAAAAGGAAGCACCCUAUCUUGGUAAAAGUAGCAAAUGUUUUAAUGAAUAGUGAGACACCAAAGUAAUUUUCUUCCAAAGCAGGAACAAAACGGGAAGAUCUCUGUCACCCUCUGCCCAAUAAUUCUUGUUACCUGGACUCUUAGCCUGCUUGUUUCUGCCUUUGGUAAUAACCACUGGUUCCCGUUCAUGGAGUCAUCUUACUGGGUCUUUUCUUGAUUGUAUGCUGGUUAUUUUACUUGAAAAAUCAUUUGCAGGAAUAAUUUCUCUUCUACUCUCAAAGAGAAUGUUUACCGAAUUGCUUUUGCCAAGCACCCGAGGCACUGGUGUUCUGGGUCACCUCAGCCCACGUAAGGCUUAGCAUUUUGCUGGCCCAGAGAUUGCUGGAAACUGGGUCAGAAUCCACAGAGGGAUGGGAUUCUAUCUGAUUCUCUUCACCAGGCCAGGGUCUGGAAGAGCCAGGCCAGUGAAGGCUGGCUUGCUAAGCACCCAACCUUGGCAGGGCCUGGAUUACAGCCUCUGCCCCAGGGGCUCCUGGAGCAGAGCCCCACAUAGCUGUCUCUCCCUGAUCCCAGAACACUCCCAGACUCCGGGUUCCUAAUACUUUGCCAUCUCCUGAGCUGUUGGAAGGUUUCUGGAUGUUUUUACACUUUACAAGUCUUUUUUUGUUUGUUUUUUUUGUUUUAGUCUACCCUCAGAGGUUUUUUUGUUUGUUUGUUUGUUUGUUUGUUUUUUGAGCUAAAGUAAUCAAGUAUGUCCAGCUUGUCUCCUAGUGCUGUGCUUUGGGUCAUUGUGUUGAAACAGUGGUCACUGGUCAUUUGUUUCCAGUUUUACUGAGUGUAACGGACUUGCAGCCCUGAGUAAAUUACAUAAUAACUUGACAUAAAUUGAGAAGCCAUUCCCACAGUAGCUUUAGUUGCUUCCAUUGUAUCACAUAGAUUAAAAAAUGUCUUUUCCCUCCUAACCAGGACUCUAAGGAGCUCCUCUCUUAACAGUUUUCAAACAUGCCACAGGGCUGUGCAUCACAUCCCAAGAACUUACUUCUGACUUUUUGUACCUUUUGACCUUUUGACCACCUUCCUCUAAUCCCCACCCCCCCGCCACGCCCCACAACUUCUGGUAACUGCUAAUCUGAUCCCUUUUUUGAUUAGUUUGCAUUUGUUUUUUUAGAUUCCACAUAUAGGUGAGACCACACAGUACUUGUCUUUCUCUGUCUGACUUUUGCACUUCGCAUAAUGCCCUUAAGGUCCACAGAAGCAGAGGUCUUACUUAUCAUCUUUUAAGAUUUUUCUGAAGUUCUGACCAAUGAAAUAAGAAGACAACAAAAGAUUGUAGAAAAUGAAAAUAUUUGUGUUUGAAAAACAGGAAAAAAAAGUCUAUUAAGCAUAAUAAAAGCACAGAGGUAUAAGAUACAAUUUUUUAAUCACUUGGUUUUCUACUGAAAAUCAAUUAACAGAAAAUAUGAUGAAAACCCUAGAACAAAAAAAUCACUAGUAUAAAUAUUAUGGUGUUUUUUUUAAUAUGUCAGCUUGGGAAAAUAAAUAUUCCCAGUAUUAUCAUUUUGCUAUACAGCAGAAACUGACAGAACAUUGUAAAUCAACUAGACUUUAAUUUAAAUUUUUUUAAAUAUCCCCAGUAUUAAAUAAAAUACUAAUUUGAAGGCAUUUGUAAACAUGUGGAAAAUCAUGUAUUCAUUAUUCAGUUAAUUUUAAAAUAAGGGAGAUUAUUUUAAGUAAUCCAGGUGGGCCUCAUUCAGUCUGUUUGAAGCCUUAAAAUAAAGGGGUUCCCAUUGUGAUUCAGUGGGUUAAGGACCUGACAUAGUGUGCAUGAGGAGACAGGUUCAAUCCCUGACAGUGCUCACUGGGUUAAGAAUCUGGCAUUGCCACAAGUUGCAGCGUGGGUCACAGGUGUGGCUCAGAUCUGCUAUUGCCCUGGAUGUGGUGUAAACAGCAGCAGCAGCAGCUCUGAUUUGAUCC